AUGUGUUUCAGCAUUUAGAUGGUAGCAAAUACAAAUAAUGACUUAAACAACAUUAACUUUGUUUAUUUCAUUUGCAGGAAGUUUCUCUUGAUAGACCACCCACCCGUCAUGAGGUAUGGAAGAAGACCCAUACGAAAAUCGAAGACGGAAAAGAAGUUUGGGUCGAGCCAUGGGCAGAGGAUACCUAUGAGGUACUGCCUAUAUUAUCUCCUCGUCUUGGUGUUGAGGCAAACUAGAGCAAUGCUUGAUUUUUGAAUCGAUAUAAUCUGGAGAGGAUGUAGAGGUGAGGUGAUCAGAAGCAUGGAGACGAUGAGGAUCAGGAGAAUAGAGAGCAUCGAGAGGCAGAAAUGGAGUAUUGGGUGUCAAUUGUUAUUUUUUUCUGACUUCUGUUAUUUUGGAUUGUUUGAAGUCUAGUGGGAUGAUUUUGAUAUAUGUUUGCAUAACGUCGAAGUUGGUUGGAUAUGUACGAUGUUUGUUGGCUUAAUUUUAAUGCUUGAAUCAUUUCAGGGUAUUUUUAUUAUUGUUUUGAUGGCUAUUAUUGGCUUCUUUUUUUUUAUUUCUAUUGAAAUCUUUUAUAUAGCAGGUGGUGCGGUAAAAAAUAGGUACUGCUUGCCAAAAUAAUACCAGAAAUACUGAGGGACUUACCGAUAGAGUCCCUCGGUAACAAGUGUAAUUGCAAAUCUCAGAUUUUCAGGUUACCGAGGGACAUCCCUCGUUAAUUUUCAACUAUCAAAGUACUUUGAAUUUACCUUACCGAUGGACAUUCCUCAGUAAAUGAAAAAUAUAAUUGUUAA